CCUUCUGAUGAAAAAGAGCUUUGUGCUCGAUUAACCCAGCUCGUUGAGGAGGGAGUAACGCCCCAUUAUUCCUUUGAGAUAAACUACCCUUCUGAUUCC
rnacentral:snoRNA from 1 species